AUGGCAAGCCAUAGCGGAGUGCGCCUCCGCCUCGUCAGCCAGAGCCUGCGGUGCGUUCAGCUGGGCUUCACCUACUUGGAGUACAUCGACGUGGUGGAUGCACCUCGCCUGGAGAGGAUCUUCCAGUGGGAGAUCACUACCCACAGCCUCUGCGCCAAGAAGCACUCUUCCAGGAUCAAGAUUGGACGUGCACCUAACCUGCGUAUGCUGGGAUACCUUCUGCCAGGAGAGCAAGAUUUGGGGAUUACCAACACCGUCAUCGCUGGGAGCAAGGAGAACAUUGUCCCUAGUGUCCAGAUUUUGGCCAUAGAGUUGCACUUUGGUGUCCGGGGUGCUGUCAAGAAAGUAUCUGGUUUUCUCAGAGGCUUCCCUAACCUGGACACGCUCCAUGUCCAAGUAAAAUUGUCCGUCCGCGUAUCUGAAAAGUCCACCGGCAAGGUCAAUCUCAAGUUCUGGCAGGAGGGCGGCCCCAUCAAAUGUGUCGUGGAGGGCAUGAAGAAGGUGUUCUUCUACGAGUUCCGAGGGUCAAAAAGCGAGGUUGCUUUCCUCAAGUUUAUCGCGGAGAGAGGUCGUGUGCUGGAGCAGAUGGUGGUUGUGGUGGCCAUUGAGUGUUUCUCCUCAGGGGAUAAUGUGAAUGCCAAGCUGAAGCCUCUGGCCAGUGCGAAAUGGACGAGCAAAACUUGCAAACUACAGCUCUUCAAGACCCCGCUCACUGCUGGGGGAGGUCCUGCUUACAGCCACCCGCUAGCUUCUGAUUUUGGAUGUGCUGACCCUUUUGACCUCAGGUACUACGACAAAGCAGAAAGGAUCUCUGUAAGUUAA
rnacentral:rRNA from 1 species